rnacentral:rRNA from 1 species
UGUAAGCGUAUACCAAAGUUGUUGCAGUUAAAACGCUCGUAGUCGGAAUUUGGCAGUUCCGGAUGUGUGCACGUCGUGUGCGCACUUCGCGGGGAUUGCUUUUGUGGUCUUGCGUAGGAUGAGGCACUUUUAUUAGUGAACGUCCUCACGCAACCACUUUUUACUGUGAGAAAAUCAGAGUGCUCAAAGCAGGCAUUUGCCGUGAAUGUAUUAGCAUGGAAUAAUAGAAUAGGACUUGGUUCUAUUUUGUUGGUUUGUUGGGACUGAGUAAUGAUUAAGAGGGACAGUUGGGGGCAUUUGUACUUCGGUGCUAGAGGUGAAAUUCUUAGAUUACCGAAAGACAAACUGCUGCGAAAGCGUCUGCCAAGGAUGUUUUCAUUGA